rnacentral:sRNA from 1 species
GACUGCCGGUGCCAAACCGGAGGAAGGUGGGGCCUACGUCGAGUCAUCAUGGCCCUUACGUCCAGGGCUACGCACGUGCUACAAUGGGCCGUACAAAGGGUUGCUCAGCCGCGAGGUGGAGCCUAUCCCUGAAAGCGGUCCUCAGUUCGGAUUGCACUCUGCAACUCGACUGCAUGAAGCCGGAAUCGCUAGUAAUCAUGGAUCAGCUACUCCACGGUGAAUACGUUCACGGGCCUUGUACACACCGCCCGUCACGCCAUGGAAGCUGUGAGCGCCCGAAGUCCGAGUCGCAACUCACAAGAGAGCAAGCGGCCGAAGGCGAUCGUAUUGACUGGGGCGAAGUCGUAACAAGGUAGCCGUAGGGGAACCUGCGGCUGGAUCACCUCCUUUCCGGAGCGACAAGUAGCGGCCGCCUCACGGCGCGUUCGUGAAAGUCCUCACG